UGCAUUCACUACUGUAAGUCGCUCUGGAUAAGAGCGUCUGCUAAAUCACAAAAG
rfam:Salmo salar isolate Sally breed double haploid chromosome ssa18, whole genome shotgun sequence.